rnacentral:rRNA from 1 species
UACAGAGGGUGCAAACGUUGCUCGGAAUUACUGGGCGUAAAGGGCGCGUAGGCGGCCUUCUAAGUCGAACGUGAAAUCCCCGGGCUCAACCCGGGAACUGCGUCCGAGACUGGAAGGCUCGAAUCCGGGAGAGGGAUGUGGAAUUCCAGGUGUAGCGGUGAAAUGCGUAGAUAUCUGGAGGAACAUCGGUGGCGAAGGCGGCAUCCUGGACCGGUAUUGACGCUGAGGCGCGAAAGCCAGGGGAGCAAACGGG